CAAAGACAUGACUGCGCAUGUGCAGCACACUUAUAAAAGCAGUCUUCUCUCCUCAACGCAACCUUAAAGCUCACCUCACAGCACAGGACCAACAACUGAAACCAGUGCAGGAACAAUGGCAAGCGUUGCAAACACCAUAGACGUUUCCGUUGGCGACAACGCCGGGCAGGUUGGUGCUGGAAAUGAAUUUGACGUUAAAGGAGGUCUCGGAAAAACUUCAUCUCUGGGCAACACCGUUGGCAUCGAAGUAGGAGGAAAGAAUACAGCGACUGGAUGCAUUGGAGCGGACAACAAAUAUGAACUAAAAGGAGGAGCUCAUGGAUCUGUCGGCAACACUGCUGUGGUUACAGUUAAAGGUGAUAACUCAGGAGCCAUUGGUUCAGGGAAUAAGGUCAACAUCAGCUGAGGAAAUCACCCUCCAACAGAUAAAGGACAACUCUUCUAAAAAUGAUAGACACAUAAUUGAAAUUCAAAUGUCUAAACAAAGUAUUAACAAACGUUAGAUGUUUGAUUUCAAAUCGGCAAAAAUGACAUGUCAUUUAUCAGAUGAAUGGAAAAUAAAUAAAAGAGAAAUUAAAAUCCA